GUUGUGUUUGUAUUACAGGAGGUCAUUGGAUUUCUGGAUCAGUGGUGGAUUUGAGAGUGAGAUCAGGAGAGAACGUCACUCUGAAUUGUGACUGUAAAACAUCAACGAACAAGGAAUAUAUUGUUUGGUACAGAAAUUGUACGCAUGAAAACCAGCCUCCUCUUGUUCUAAAGCAAAAAGAAGAUCCAUGGAAACAAAUCAGCGACCAAAAAAGUCUACUGAAUUCUCUAGCCCGUUUCCACUUUGUAGAGAAUAACUCGUCUGGAUCGUAUGAUCUGCUGAUCAUGAAUAUUUCUGAUUCUGAUGAGGGUCUCUAUUACUGUGGAACUGAGAAGGAUCGCUUGGAGGAGCAUGGAAGUGUUCAGGUCAAAUAUGUUCACAGAUACAGCAACAUCAGAACAAGAAUCCUAAUCAACGCCAGUGAUACAACUUCAACCCAUGAGAGGACUCCACAGGUUGAAGCUUGCGGCAUGUGUUGGAAACUGCUGUUUGUCCUGUGCCCAACUUUUGCUGUUGUCCCCUCUCUUCUUGUCUCACUUCUUGUUCAUCACUACUGCCAGAAAACAGUUGAUCACCAACGACCUAAAACCAGUCAGCAAACAAGAAAAAAUCAGGAUGAAGAUGUGUUUUAUGCUACAGUGGAAACCCGUCAAGCCACACAAAGACAAAAGAAGAAGAUAACGCAUAGUUCUGACUUCUGUACCUAUUCUGCUAUCAACACCUCUGGGCUCUAGAUUGUUCAUUGUUUCAUUUAAAAAUGCAUAAUGAAUUAUGUUAGUUAAACCAAAAACUUCUGCAAGGAUUGAGAUUAGCUCAAUCCUAUGCAAAGCUAUUCUAGAGCCUAUAGAGCCUUUAAUCACUAAGGAUGAUGUCUGGUGUAAACUGCAAGGAAGCCAAAUGAUCAUGGUUUGGAUGAUUGGUGUAUACAUGUAAACAAUUUGUAUCAUUGUCUUCCUGUUUUGUUUUGUUUUAAUUCUAAGAUUGUUCAUUUGUGUAUUUUUUUUAAGCCAUUUUUAAUUGCAAAUUGAGUAGCUUUAGCUUUUUAGAUUACAUGUUUGUUUUUCCUUUGGUAAAAUGUUUAAUUAUAUAUUUUUUUCAAACAGUGGUGUUUGUUGUUUAUGAUGUUUGAGUGGUUUUUUUUUUUUUAAAUCAGUGGUAGUAGUUUAGUAUAGAGUAUUUCAGUAUACCAAAGAAUACAGACCUUUACAGAAGUUUACUGAAGCAGAAAUGUUAUGUUAUCUGUUCGUGCAGCUAACAUAUUAAAUUGUGAUUGUAUUUGUGGUGCGAUGCUCCUUCUACUGUUUUUUAAGCCUCUCUAAUUAGUAGUAUAAAUA
rnacentral:lncRNA from 1 species